GUGACCACUAUGUCAAAGGAGGAUGUAGAAAAAACGGAAGGCAGUGCAGACACUCUCAUUCUAAGAUACGGACCACUGCCAGUACACAGAUAUCACUCCUCAUAUUUUGGAAUGAAUUUACAUACAGAGGUAUACAUAGAUUUCUGGAUGGUGCUAGAUGGAUGGAGCACUGCUCUGCCACAGGCCAGUCAUCUGAUUGCCCAUCCUCACCAGCUUCAGUCCGGGCCAGGUUCUUGGCCUUAAGUGGGGUUUCAUCUGAUUCAUGCCUGUAUUAUAGUCAUGCACGAUACCUAGAACAGGUCAGAUGUUCAAUAAGUAUUUCUUGAAUGAAAAAGUGAGAGAAGAAUGAAGCCUUUCUUUCUGUUGAUACCAUUUAUAGCCCACUUUAUAGGGACUGUACCUGAGGCAGGAAUGCUUCACAUGGCUGGACAGUUGGGGGGCGUUGCACAAGGAUACCAGGGCCAGGACCCACGUGGGCUUAGCAGUCAGCCCUGCCCAACCACUGUGGAGAUGAGUCCACCCUGAGAAAGGGACUUUUUCCUUUCUGCCUGAAUAAUAUGCCAUCCAGCUGUGCAUCACUGGUUUGCUGAUGAUGAUGUUGAAGGGAGGCUCAUUUUACUCUGCCCACAACAGUGUCUUUCAGGAAGGGGCUGCCCGGCUAGUGUCCCCACUAGUGAUCAGAUCAGAGCAGGGACACUAGCUGUCCCUACGGGUCAGUGUCUGGCAUGGUUGGCUCAGGCUCCAGGGGCUAGCCUUGGAGCUGGCUUCCAGUUUCCAUGUGUAGGUAACCAUUACCCAUCAGUAGACAUUUCUGACACUGAUGUGUCUCUUUGUCAGACUUAUAUAGACUUUGGUUGCUUAUUAAUUCUGUGGUUAUCUAUUUUUGUACCUCUCCAUGGCUCCAUCACAACUGAAUCUGCCCUCUGUACCUUAACUGUUGGCCCCUUCAGCCCACAUCUCUUCUCUAUUUCCUUACCAAACUUGUUCACAUGAUCCCUCUAUUUCUACCCCUACUGCCUCAGACAAUCUCAUCCUGACAUUCUUUUCUCAAAUUCUAAUCCUCCUUCAUUCUGCUUUCUGCUCAACUUCAUACUCUACUUCUCUCCUGCCUUUGGGGCUCACAUUCCUAAACGUUGAUCCCUAAAGGAACAUUGUCACAUAUUUCUUAUCUGCAUCCAUGCAUCUGUUCCUG
rnacentral:lncRNA from 1 species